rnacentral:rRNA from 1 species
GACGAACGCUGGCGGCGUGCUUAACACAUGCAAGUCGAACGGAAAGGCCCUGCUUUUGUGGGGUGCUCGAGUGGCGAACGGGUGAGUAACACGUGAGUAACCUGCCCUUGACUUUGGGAUAACUUCAGGAAACUGGGGCUAAUACCGGAUAGGAGCUCCUGCUGCAUGGUGGGGGUUGGAAAGUUUCGGCGGUUGGGGAUGGACUCGCGGCUUAUCAGCUUGUUGGUGGGGUAGUGGCUUACCAAGGCUUUGACGGGUAGCCGGCCUGAGAGGGUGACCGGCCACAUUGGGACUGAGAUGCGGCCCAGACUCAUACGGGAGGCAGCAGUGGGGAAUAUUGCACAAUGGGCGGAAGCCUGAUGCAGCAACGCCGCGUGCGGGAUGACGGCCUUCGGGUUGUAAACCGCUUUCGCCUGUGACGAAGCGUGAGUGACGGUAAUGGGUAAAGGAGCACCGGCUAACUACGUG